GCCCGGGGGAGCUACUCAUCAUAUCAUGGGGAACUAGAAUGUUCUUAGGUUCUGAGUUCCCUCUCCGCAUGAAAAUAUGGAAAAUUCCUCUCGUAUUCCCCAGACAGACACGUCCCUGCCAACCCCUCUGUCUCCGGGAGCCCAGGGGUACAGAUCUUGCUGGAGCUGCUACUGACCCACCCUUUCAUCCUCCUCUGCCCUCUGGUCAUCUGCUGUCCCCACACAGCCAGCCACCCACCACCUGCCCAUCCACCCAUCCAUCCAUCCAUAUCUACCUGCAUCCACCCAUCCACCCACCCCUCCUCCACCCAUUCAAUCCCCCAUCCACCCAUCAGUCCAUCUACCCGUCCAUCAUCCACCCACCCUAUGCACACAUCCACGCAUCCACCUGGCACCCAUCCAUUCACACAUCCACCACCCAUUCAACCACCCACCUCCCAUCCACCCACCUACCCAUACUCAUCCAUCUGCCCACCCCUCCAACGAUCCAUCUAUCCUUCCAUCCACUUGUUCACCCACCCAUCCACCCUCUUCCGCCCACCCAUCCUCCUGUCUCCCACCCUCUCG
rnacentral:lncRNA from 1 species